rnacentral:rRNA from 1 species
GAUGAACGCUGGCGGCGUGCCUAAUACAUGCAAGUCGAGCGAACGGACGAGAAGCUUGCUCCUCUGAUGUUAGCGGCGGACGGGUGAGUAACACGUGGAUAACCUACCUAUAAGACUGGGAUAACUUCGGGAAACCGUAGCUAAUACCGGAUAAUAUUUUGAACCGCAUGGUUCAAAAGUGAAAGACGGUCUUGCUGUCACUUAUAGAUGGAUCCGCGCUGCAUUAGCUAGUUGGUAAGGUAACGGCUUACCAAGGCAACGAUGCAUAGCCGACCUGAGAGGGUGAUCGGCCACACUGGAACUGAGACACGGUCCAGACUCCUACGGGAGGCAGCAGUAGGGAAUCUUCCGCAAUGGGCGAAAGCCUGACGGAGCAACGCCGCGUGAGUGAUGAAGGUCUUCGGAUUGUAAAACUCUGUUAUUAGGGAAGAACAUAUGUGUAAGUAACUGUGCACAUCUUGACGGUACCUAAUCAGAAAGCCACGGCUAACUACGUG